rnacentral:rRNA from 1 species
GAUGAACGCUGGCGGCGUGCCUAAUACAUGCAAGUCGAGCGAACAGAUGAGGAGCUUGCUCCUCUGACGUUAGCGGCGGACGGGUGAGUAACACGUGGAUAACCUACCUAUAAGACUGGGAUAACUUCGGGAAACCGGAGCUAAUACCGGAUAAUAUAUUGAACCGCAUGGUUCAAUAGUGAAAGACGGUUUUGCUGUCACUUAUAGAUGGAUCCGCGCCGCAUUAGCUAGUUGGUAAGGUAACGGCUUACCAAGGCAACGAUGCGUAGCCGACCUGAGAGGGUGAUCGGCCACCCUGGAACGGAGACCCGGUCCAGACCCCUACGGGGGGCGGAGGUGGGGAUCCUUCCGCAAUGGGGGAAAGCCUGACGGAGCAACCCGGCGGGGGUGAUGAAGGCUUUCGGAUCGAAAACCUUUUUUAUAGGGAAAAAAAAAAUGUUUAGGUAACAAUGCAGUUUUUACCGGAACUUAAUCAGAAGCCCCCGGUUAACUACGU